GAUGAAGAACGUAGCGAAAUGCGAUAAGUAAUGUGAAUUGCAGAAUUCAGUGAAUCAUCGAGUUUUUGAACGCAUAUUGCGCCCUCUGGUAUUCCGGGGGGCAUGCCUGUUCGAGCGUCAUUAAAUAACCCUCAAGCAUAGCUUGGUGUUGGGCUUUUUUACGUCCUUGACUGGGAUGGGCCUAAAAAUUAGUGGCGAUGGCUUUUUUACUUUCAAGCGUAGUAAAUCUCGUCUUGCUAAAGAGGAAAAAGAUUUUUUUUCUGCCAAAAAUUUUAACAUUUAAAGUUGACCUCGCAUCAGGUAGGAUUACCCGCUGAACUUAAGCAUAUCAAUAAGCGGAGGA
rnacentral:misc_RNA from 1 species